UGUAUAUAAUGACACACGCCCGUCGGGCGAAAGGGAAUCCGGUUCCUAUUCCGGAACCCGGCAGCGGAACCGCAUACAAUUCGGGCCCUCGUAAGAGUGUUCGUCGGGGUAACCCAAAAUGACCUGGAGACGCCGUCAGGAGAUCCGGGAAGAGUUUUCUUUUCUGUAUAAGCGUUCGAGUUCCCUGGAAACCUUUAGCAGGGAGAUAGGGUUUGGAACGCGAAGAGCACCGCAGUUGCGGCGGUGUCCGGAUCUUCCCCUCGGACCUUGAAAAUCCAGAAGAGGGUCACGUGGAGGUGUCGCGCCGGUUCGUACCCAUAUCCGCAGCAGUUCUUCAAGGUAAAGAGCCUCUAGUCAAUAGAAUAAUGUAGGUAAGGGAAGUCGGCAAAUUGGAUCCGUAACUUCGGAAUAAGGAUUGUCUCUGAGGAGCGGGGCGUGAGAUCGGAAGAGCGGCG